AGCAGCCGCGGUAAUUCCAGCUCCAAUAGCGUAUAUUAAAGUUGUUGCAGUUAAAAAGCUCGUAGUUGAAUUUCGGGGUCAGUAGGUCGGUCGUGCCACUGGUAUGAACUGGUUUUACUGAUUCCUCCCUCUUGAAGAACUGUAAUGCCAUUAAUUUGUUGUUGCAGGGAAUCAGGACUGUUACUUUGAAAAAAUUAGAGUGUUUAAAGCAGGCUUUAGCUUGAAUACAUUAGCAUGGAAUAAUGAAAUAGGACGUUUGAUCCUAUUUUGUUGGUUUCUAGGAUUGACGUAAUGAUUAAUAGGGAUAGUUGGGGGCAUUAGUAUUCAAUUGUCAGAGGUGAAAUUCUUGGAUUUAUUGAAGACUAACUACUGCGAAAGCAUUUGCCAAGGAUGUUUUCAUUAAUCAAGAACGAAAGUUAGGGGAUCGAAGACGAUCAGAUACCGUCGUAGUCUUAACCAUAAACUAUGCCGACUAGGGAUCGGAUGAUGUUAAUUUUUUAAUGACUCA
rnacentral:rRNA from 1 species